AGAAUCUAAAACCAAAGACAAUGAAAUAAGUACAAAACCAACUCUCCACUCUCCAUCGGAUAUUGUCGAAGAGCAAAGAUUUAUCCAAAGUAACCAUGAUGAGGAGAAUCCACCUCCUUCUCCAGAACAUUUUACCAAGGCAGUGGACAUCUUAUCUCCAACAUGCUACCUUUCGGACAUCAACCAUCUGAAGGAACUGAAAAACCACGUGGCCCAGAUUGGAUCAGACACUUUCUUCAACUCAGUUCUAAAUGAGAGCUUGGCGACUCUUGAGAUUACGACACCACUGCCGACAUUGCCUCUGUAUUCAACACGUGAGUAGUUUUCAGUUCUAAUUGAACAGAGCAGUCAGAAAGGCUAGUGGGGAUCAUAGAUAAGAGGGUGGAGUUGAGAUCACUAUCAGGUUAGCCAUGAUGUUAUUAAAUGGCACAACAGGCCAUUUUU